GUAAUAAUUAAGCUAAAUACUGCAAUUUGAUGUGCAUAAUAUACUUAAUUUUGCAUUCAACUAGAAUGUAUUUUAUAACACUACAAUAAACUUCAACUAAACUUAGCGGACUUUUAACUGCAUUAUUAAAUAAUACUAUAACAAUACUAUACCGACAAUCUGUAUGUUUUCACUUUCCAUUUCGGAACUCCAAACUAUUCCACUUUUCAUUCCCCAGCAAUUCAACUUCAUUGAUAAGUGCUUAUUUAGUUAUUAUCGUAUUAAUUACACCAUCAAACGAACCCCGAUCCCACUCUACUAGUAUAUGAUUCAAUCCUCCGGCGGACUUUGUCCCUCCUCGUCGCGUACUAAACAAUAGCUGAUUGAUAUAGUAAGUAAUGUAUUGUUUUGUAUUUUCCUAAGCUAAUAAUGGAGAACGGAGCAAAGUGUAACAAAUGUAGAAAACGUCAUGACUUUAUCAAGUGCCACUGGUGACCAAUGAUCACCCAGCUGGCUGGGCAUGAACUUUGGUCUAAGCUGGUUCCGGGGAUUGAAAGAGUAGCGAGUAACAAGCCCGAUGACAUGGAGAAGUGCGAUCCGGCACUAUAAAUAACAAUUUACAUAAGUGCUCGAUAAGUUUAAAUAUUGACCACAUCCACAAUCUGCACGCCCUCGUACACCAAGCAAACGAUAAGAUUGCGAUUUAUGAUCGUUCGCGCCAUAUAAAAGCUAUAGGAAAUCGUAAAUAAGACGCAUGUAAACUCAUCAUCACUCCUUCGGACUACAAAAUCAAGGCAGUCGCUCGAUUUCCUUGUUUCACCUAAUCGUACUCGGAAUACUUGGAUUAUUUGCUGGUAUCAUACCACUAAGCUGGUCAAAAUUUAGACGCUUCUAUUUGAUACCACUUAUCAUGCGAAAGCAAUGCCCAUUUAUUUGUAGCUCAACGACUCCCAAACACAAAGAUAGUCUAUCCAAGCAAAGUCCAACUUGCGGAGGCUUCUUGAAAGGUCUUUUCGUGGGUGAUUUCGUCCAGUUUUGGUGCCAUAAAUCUUCGUAGCGCCCGCAUCCCGACAACUGAUAACCAUGGGUAAUGCGCGUGCCUCGGAGCGAUUAGGCAUGAUCUUUGGCAAAAUCUCAGGAAUCUCAUCGGAAGUGGUUUAUUCCGCUGUUUUGAUGAUACGCCAAUUGUUACUCUUUUCAUGGUUUGUCUGUUUUUCAAUUCUAUCAAUUGAUUGAUUACAUUUUUGAACACCCUUUUCGGGGUUUUUAGAAAUAAGUAAGCCACUAAGAAAAUAGCUAAAGUGAAGCCAUAAUAAAGAUUUCAAAAUUACUACCUAUGAUUCUUUCAGAGGAAGUUUUCUACUUUUAGGUGAGAAAACCACUACAUGAUUGGGGUGCUAUAACUUUUAAAUAGCUAGUCUUAUACUCCCGAAAGUAUUACGAAAAUGUGAAGAUCCACCUAAAUAUUUACCAGAAAAUGAUCUCCAUUUAAGCCGAUUCACUUUACCAAACUGGAAAAUUCUCCGAUGAAUGCUAAACACAUUUCUCACACACCUGAAAUUUUGCUCAACCGGAUCGUUGGCCAUAAUGGCAGCGGUUCAGCAAGAUACAGGCGCGAAUGAAAUGUGUUGCCAAAGGACUUUGGUGUCAACGAGGACGAAAUGAAUCACCAUGUACCACCACUGAAUCAGCACUUGGUCACUGAAACCGGGACCGCAACUUUUCCUGGCCACGCUCGGAUUCGAACUGAUGGCCAGAAGUCAGCGCCAGUCUGUAGGUAGCCACUUGUGAUCAACCCGGACCCGGGCGACCCAUCUAUGUGAAAGCGCAUUAGAACUGGGGAAUCGACUCGACGCGGAACAAAAGGAAGCGCUGACAAUGCCGGCUGCCUGGUUGGCUGAGUGCCUCGGUUGGGGUUGGCCGGUUGGACUGUUGGACAGACGGACCGGACCGGCUGACUGGCUGAAUGGGUGGGUGGGUCACUAGAACCACUUGCAACAGCGGCGCAUGCUUUCUAAACGCCACCAUUAUCUAGUCGCUGUUGCCGUUGUUGUUGUUGUUGUUGUGGGACGCACCUUACUAAUACUUACUAAUACAAAUAGCCAAGUGGAAGCGGAGCGACAGCUGACACCAUCGGCGAACGCGCCUUUUUAACGAGCGAGCGACCAGCUCGACCCCACCUAGUAUUACACGGAGUGAUUACAUAGCGCCCAGAUGGAAUUGGAUUUGGAAUCGG
ensembl:ncRNA lncRNA:CR45949 long non-coding RNA:CR45949